rnacentral:lncRNA from 1 species
UCAAAUAUCAUUACUACUGCUAUUUACUAGUCUCAGUGACAAUCUGAGAUCCUCCUUAGAUGCUUAGAGGAACCUUUAUACAGGGUUAUAAAUAGAGAAUUCUAAUGAUUAAAAUUUAAAAUGGUAGCAAUGACAAGUCCACUAUAAACAUAAUAAAUAAAUCAUUACCUUCUCUAUUAAUGAACAGAAACUUCAGUACUUUAAAGCUAAUAUCUUGAAAGAUUUUAGAAGUGCAGCAAGCUGGUACUCACACCUAAUGAAAAGGUCUUAGUGAAAAUCAUUUUACAAUUUACAACAUUUGCAUUGUUCUUUACAAAUGUUGUUUCCAUUCCAUGCAAGACAAUUAAACCAGAAUUAUUUUGACCACAAAUUUUUCUUCCUAAUUAAUUGGCCAAACACAAUGUAAAUAAAAUAGGAAAUGCUUCAGUUAAUAUUUACUAUAUAAACAAACAAACAGAUAGUGGGAUAAUGGUUUUAUCUAUCACCAUAUUCUAGAAUUGUGCCUGGCAUUCAGUAAGCACCUAAUGGAUUAACAAAUAUGUACUUGUAGAUGUCUGCAGACCAAGGUGAAUUUAGUGAAUAUCAAAAACUUCUUGAGUGCUCCAUCGUAACGCCAUUUAUCUUGACAUAAACUGCAAAGAUGGCUCAAAUGUCGAUAAGGAUAUCAGGUCAGGGUCUCCAGUGGCUGCAGCCUAUCCCAGAAGCUCAGGGUGCAAGGCAAGAAGUAAUCGUGGGACCAGGCGCCGUGGCUCUCGCCUGUAAUCCCAGCACUUUGGGAGGCAGAGGCUGGUGAAUCACUUGAGGUCAGGGGUUCCAGACUAGCCUGGCCAACAUGAUGAAACCUCAUCUCCACUAAAAAUACAAAUAUUAAUUGGAUGUAGUGGUACAUGCCUGUAAUCCCAGCUACUCGGGAGGCUGAAGCUUGAACCCGGAGGCAGCGGUUGCAGUGAGCUGAGAUCGUGAUACUGCACUCCAGCCUGGGUGAGGGAGUGAGACUCUAAAAAAAAAAAAAAAAAAAAAAAAAAAAAAAAAAAGACUAACCAUGGGCAAGACAUCGUCCCAUUGCAGGGUGCACUCACACACACCCACACUCACUCACACUGGGACAGUGUAGACACACCGAUGAACCCAACAUGCACAUCUUUGGGAUACUAGAGUAAACUGGAGUGCUUAGAGAAAACCCAUGAGAACAUAGGAAGAACUUGCAUACCCCACACAGACAGUGGUCCCUGCAGGGUUUUUCUGUUUGUUGGUUGUUUUUCCUUCAUCAAGUUUGUAAUGAAACGAUGUUGAAUGAUAAAAUAUUAUUUGAGGAAUUGUUGUACAAGGAUUUUGGCAUUUGUCUGUAUAUGGAAAUCAAAGACAUUUUAAAGUGAUUAUAAAUCUUUGUACAUGUUGACAAUAUUCAAUUCAGUUAAAGGCUUUAUCACGGUACAUUGUGACCUCUCUUUAAAUGGUUACAUUACUUUGAGCUCUGAAAAUUUGUUAUACUUACAUUGUUCUAAUUGUUCAUAACUAGGAAUUCACUGACUUUGCUUUAAUGUAUGCUAGGAAAACUGAAGUAGAUAAAUCAUACUUCCCCUUUCAGUCUCCUUCUCUCUUUUGGAUUUAAUUUUAACUCGAGGUUUAUUAAUUACAGAAGUUACACUCAUGUUGCUGCAAAUGUAUUUUUUCUAGUUGUUAAUUUGUUCAUGACAUUCUGCUUGAUGAUAGUAAUAUUAUGAUGAAGGUGCCUCAGAUAUCAAAAAAGAUUUCAAGUCUAUAGAACGUACCUCUAGCUACAGAGUCACAGGAUAUGUGACAGCAAUGAUAUUAGGGGAUGCUGAGCUGGAAACCCAAUUCAGCACCAGAGACAGAAAUACUGUAUUUUGACUCAUUCAUCUUACAUGGAAGAUGAAGCCUGCCAAUCAAGUAGAAAAUGUAGGCCUCCAAGACAAUAACUCACCUGCCUUUUUGUGGUUUAUAUUUUUCAUCUUGGUUAAAAAGUGUCCAUUGAUAGGGGAUUUAAUCAAAACAUUAAAGAAGACAUAAUAUAGCCACCAAAUCUAAUUAUUUCCAACUACUAGAUAUCAGAGCUUUAAAAAAAUUGUUUUUAACUGCAUUUGCUUCAUUUUUCUUAUGGGAUAUUAAUAGAAAAAUGGAGUGCAUUUCUAACAGUUGCAUUUUUUCAUAUGUGUGGCUAUGUUUAUGCUGAUAUUAGUUAAAAGUUCUAAAAACAAGCAAAGAAAAUAUACACAGUUUUUUGGCAUUGAUUGGUUGAUAUAAUAAUUAUGUAUAUUUACUUAAUAUGCAUAAUUUAAA